rnacentral:rRNA from 1 species
GACGAACGCUGGCGGCGUGCUUAACACAUGCAAGUCGAACGGAAAGGCCCUGCUUGCCGGGUACUCGAGUGGCGAACGGGUGAGUAACACGUGGGUGAUCUGCCCUGCACUUCGGGAUAAGCCUGGGAAACUGGGUCUAAUACCGGAUAGGAGCCAUUUUGAGUGUUGUGGUUGGAGAGUUUUUUCGGUGUGGGGUGAGCUGGCGGCCUAUCAGCUUGUUGGUGGGGUAAUGGCCUGCCAAGGCGGCGACGGGUAGCCGGCCCGGGAGGGUGGACGGCCACAUUGGGACUGAGAUACGGCCCAGACUCCUACGGGAGGCAGCAGUGGGGAAUAUUGCACAAUGGGCGCAAGCCUGAUGCAGCGACGCCGCGUGGGGGAUGACGGCCUUCGGGUUGGAAACUCCUUUCGCUAGGGACGAAGCUUUUUGUGACGGUACCUAGAUAAGAAGCACCGGCUAACUACGUG